GUGAGUUUAACACUUCAUGACUGACACAGCAACAAAAACAGCAACUACAAUGACAUUGAUCAUAUUCUUCUUGAUCUUAGGGAUGUAUUUUCAAGACUCUGCAGGACAGGUGACUGUGAUUCAGACUCCAACAGAGAAACAUGUUCAGAACGGACAAACAGUGACUCUGACCUGUAAAACCAGCAGCUCUAUUGGACGCCAGUCAGACGGUUGGUGUGGGUCAUGUCUCUCCUGGUACCUACAGAAACCUGGAGAAGCUCCUAAACUAUUAGUGCACAGCAUUAAAACACUCCGGUCAGGAACUCCAUCAAGAUUCAGUGGAAAUGGAGCUGACCGUGGAACUGAUUUCUCUCUGACCAUCAGUGGAGUCCAGACUGAAGAUACAGGAGAUUAUUACUGUAUGGCUAUAAACUAUAUCAGUAAUAGCUGGGUGUUCACACAGUGAUAAAGAGUCGUACAAAAACCUGAUACAGCUGAGAGAUACUGCAGCUGCUCUACAACACAAUCACACACAACACUGAUCAGAGAACACACACUCAUAACACAAAAUAAAUAGAUGGUGAAGUUUAUUGUUAUAAAUAUGGCAAUGCUUUACUUUAGAUGUCCUAUCCCUUUACCCAUUAAAUCAAACUAGAAAACAUCUAUCUGCAUUAGACAGGGAAGGUAAAGUUACACGUUUGCUUCU